UUAGAGGGACUGGCUUUGUAUAAAUUGCUGGAAGUUGGUAGCAAUAACAGGUCUGUGAUGCCCUUAGAUGUUCUGGGCAGCGCACGGGCUACAAUAGGAGAGUAAGUGAGUUUGUUCAACUUAGUUCGAAAAGGGCUGUGGAAUCUUAAACCUGUUCUUUAUAUGGAAUCACGCUUUGAAAUUUUAACGUGUAAACUAGGAAUACCUAGUAAGUGUAUGUCAUCAACGUGCACUGAAUACGUCCCUGCCCUUUGUACACACCGCCCGUCGCUCCUACCGAUUGGAUGAGUUGGUGAGUGGAUUGGAGUAACAGCUAUCUUCCUGAAAGAUUGUUGUAUUUUUUAAAA
rnacentral:rRNA from 1 species